GCCCUGUUUUUUUUCUUACUCUCGUGUCUGCACAUCGCGUGCACUUUGACACACUUCUAGUGUGUUUGCAGUGAAAACACACACCCGUGCGCAGGCUCUUCACGCCACAUGCCGUCUCCGAGAACAGCUGAGGCCAGAUUCGCAGCACGGUCACACACCAGACCCCCGCAACGGAUUCCUCCAGUCACCCUACACGCCUGAAUUUGUUUUUUUUUUAUCCAUCCAAACUGUGAUUCAGCGGCUUGUUUCAGUCGGAAUAAGGCCUGUGGUGGAUGAGUCAGCCCUGUUAAUGAUUUGCUCAAACGUUGAAAAGCUGGUCAGCGUUUGUCGGGUCCUGCAGACUCGUGAGUCACAGGCCGUGCACACGUAAGAGUUUUGACGAGCUCCUCCACCUGAGUCAUGUUUGAAAUGAUCAGCCUGCGCCGGCUAGCGUGCUUAUUAGGCCGUCUAUGUUGUGUAAUGACGAAGGGUUCGUUCUGAAGAUGGAGCAGCUUUUCGGCGUCUUGUUAAGUCUCCCUCUUGAGCGCCCUUCAGCGUUAAUCCCCCUGCAUUCUUGCAGCGGAGAAAUCUCUGCUCUCCGCCAGCUGCUCGCUUCUCAGGGUGAACAAACACGGCCGACCGAUCCACAACGUUUGACUAGAGGAAUGAAUUAGUGGAUUUGGUCUGACCCUUUAACCCCAACGGAGAGGAGAAAGCCACUUCUGAGAGCUGCCGCCACUGGGUGGAUUGGGAAGGGUGGAGGUGGAAAACGCACAGAAGGAGAGAGCAGGAGGGAGACGGGAGACGGGAGGAGGAGGCGAGCAGAUGAAGAGAUUCCCAGGUGGUGCUGCUGGUGGUUGUGGAGUUUGCAUACAACACAUUGUGUUUUGUUCUUCCAGCUCGGUGUUGCUUCCACCGUCUGUUUCUCCUACGCUAAUGUUUCCUCGCAGGUGUCGGAUGUAAACCAAAGAAUGAUGGAAAAUAAAUCUGUUUUGUUGUCAGAAAAUAUUAAGCUCUAACAUUUUGUGUUGCACCACUCCCACGACGAAACUUUAGCAGUUUUGUUUUGAUUAAAUCAACAAAGUGGUACUUAUUAAUAAUCCUCCACAUCAUGAUACCACCACCACCAACCUGAAUAUAAUGGAAAAAAAAAAGUUAAUUUUCUUUUGACGCCUAACUAUCUCAGCAGCUGUUUUCAAACCUCCUUUGUUUAGCUUUCAUGAAGCGCUGCAGCCUCAGUUUCCUGUUUUAGUGGACAGAUGUGUAGUUUGG
rnacentral:lncRNA from 1 species